rnacentral:piRNA from 1 species
UGCGAGAUACUUCAGCGUGUGACCUGU